UACGUAGGGUGCGAGCGUUGUCCGGAAUUAUUGGGCGUAAAGAGCUUGUAGGCGGUUUGUCGCGUCUGCCGUGAAAGCCCAGGGCUUAACCCUGGGUCUGCGGUGGGUACGGGCAGGCUAGAGUGUGGUAGGGGAGACUGGAAUUCCUGGUGUAGCGGUGAAAUGCGCAGAUAUCAGGAGGAACACCGAUGGCGAAGGCAGGUCUCUGGGCCACUACUGACGCUGAGAAGCGAAAGCAUGGGGAGCAAACAGG
rnacentral:rRNA from 1 species